rnacentral:rRNA from 1 species
GACGUAGGGCGCAAGCGUUGUCCGGAUUUAUUGGGCGUAAAGGGCUCGUAGGCGGUUUGUCGCGUCGGGAGUGAAAAUCCAGGGCUUAACUCUGGACUGGCUUCCGAUACGGGCAGACUAGAGGUGAUGCAGGGGAGAACGGAAUUCCUGGUGUAGCGGUGAAAUGCGCAGAUAUCAGGAGGAACACCGGUGGCGAAGGCGGUUCUCUGGGCAUUACCUGACGCUGAGGAGCGAAAGUGUGGGGAGCGAACAGG